GCCAUUAGCUCCAUGGCAGUGAUGCGGGUUGCCAACUGUUGGUUGCAAUGCUGUGAAACCUGUUGCUAAGGAAGUCUUGACUAACAUCAUAAGUGGACUUCAGGGGAUAAAACGCACCAUGUAACCGCUUCAGCCAUUCAACCAAGAAUCGCCAAUAAGAUUUAGAUGAAUUCUUCACUCCAAAAGAGGGAACAGAGGCAUGAAGGAUCAACCCACCGCAGACACAAUCCCAUCUCUCUUGGCACUAUUUUCUGGGGCCACUGCACUGAGAGAAUUUCCUCAAAUGCUUUGGCACAGAACAAGAGAUGAAGAACAACUUGAGCGUUGCAGCGCUGCCUGGCGUGCGUCAGAGAACAUGGUGCUCUAUGGGUCCACUGAGUGCUGCAUAAAACACCUGCCAACAAUGACAAAUCACCCAUAAUACCAUGCCAUGCGUUUCCAAGGGAGGCACAGACAGAACAUUACCUUCAUUUCUAGACGUCAAAAGAGGUGCCGGCGCUUUAUUUUGAUGGAUCUUGCCAAAGAGGUGGCAGACUGUGUAG